AACGAACGCUGGCGGCAGGCUUAACACAUGCAAGUCGAACGGGUGUAGCAAUACAUCAGUGGCGCACGGGUGAGUAACGCGUGGGAAUAUGCCCUUUGGUACGGAACAACCUCGGGAAACUGAGGCUAAUACCGUAUAAUAUCUGCGGAUCAAAGAUUUAUCGCCAAAGGAUUAGCCCGCGUUGGAUUAGGUAGUUGGUGAGGUAACGGCUCACCAAGCCGACGAUCCAUAGCUGUUCUGAGAGGAUGAUCAGCCACACUGGGACUGAGACACGGCCCAGACUCCUACGGGAGGCAGCAGUAAGGAAUAUUGGACAAUGGAGGAAACUCUGAUCCAGCCAUGCCGCGUGAGUGAUGAAGGCCUUCGGGUUGUAAAGCUCUUUUACCCCUGACGAUAAUGACGGUAAGGGGAGAAAAAGCCACGGCUAACUUCGUGCCAGCAGCCGCCGUAA
rnacentral:rRNA from 1 species